rnacentral:rRNA from 1 species
AAAUUGAAGAGUUUGAUCAUGGCUCAGAUUGAACGCUGGCGGCAGGCCUAACACAUGCAAGUCGAGCGGAAACGAGUUAUCUGAACCUUCGGGGAACGAUAACGGCGUCGAGCGGCGGACGGGUGAGUAAUGCCUGGGAAAUUGCCCUGAUGUGGGGGAUAACCAUUGGAAACGAUGGCUAAUACCGCAUGAUGCCUACGGGCCAAAGAGGGGGACCUUCGGGCCUCUCG